rnacentral:tRNA from 1 species
GGUUAUGGCUCAGUGGUAUAGCACUUGCCUUGCAUGUGUGAGGCACUGGGUUCAAUUCUCAGCACCA